UACGAAGGGGGCUAACGUUGCUCGGAAUCACUGGGCGUAAAGCGCACGUAGGCGGAUCUUUAAGUCAGGGGUGAAAUCCUGGAGCUCAACUCCAGAACUGCCUUUGAUACUGGGGAUCUCGAGUCCGGGAGAGGUGAGUGGAACUCCGAGUGUAGAGGUGAAAUUCGUAGAUAUUCGGAAGAACACCAGUGGCGAAGGCGGCUCACUGGCCCGGUACUGACGCUGAGGUGCGAAAGCGUGGGGAGCAAACAGG
rnacentral:rRNA from 1 species